UACGAAGGGGGCUAGCGUUGUUCGGAAUUACUGGGCGUAAAGCGCACGUAGGCGGCUUCUUAAGUCAGGGGUGAAAUCCUGGAGCUCAACUCCAGAACUGCCUUUGAUACUGAGGAGCUUGAGUCCGGGAGAGGUGAGUGGAACUGCGAGUGUAGAGGUGAAAUUCGUAGAUAUUCGCAAGAACACCAGUGGCGAAGGCGGCUCACUGGCCCGGUACUGACGCUGAGGUGCGAAAGCGUGGGGAGCAAACAGG
rnacentral:rRNA from 1 species